rnacentral:rRNA from 1 species
GGAAUAUUGGUCAAUGGGCGAGAGCCUGAACCAGCCAAGUCGCGUGAGGGAAGAAGGUCCUAAGGAUUGCAGACCUCUUUUGCCGGGGAGCAACGGCCGCCACGCGUGGCGGAAUGAGAGUACCCGGAGAAAAAGCAUCGGCUAACUCCGUGCCAGCAGCCGCGGUAAUACGGAGGAUGCGAGCGUUAUCCGGAUUUAUUGGGUUUAAAGGGUGCGUAGGCGGACGUUCAAGUCGGCGGUCAAAUGGGCGGGCUCAACCCGUUCCCGCCGUCGAAACUGGGCGACUUGAGUAGGAGAGGGGCACGCGGAAUGCGCGGUGUAGCGGUGAAAUGCAUAGAUAUCGCGCAGAACUCCGAUCGCGAAGGCAGCGUGCCGGCUCCUUACUGACGCUGAAGCACGAAAGCGUGGGGAUCGAACA